CAAGGUUCGUACGCACUGCAGGAUUUCCGGCGUUGUCUCUCGUUGCACAGCGCGGGCAAGGGAAAGGCUCUUCUGGCCACCGUGCCAGAGGGUCUUAGCCUCGUGGUGGGGCGGUCCCAGCAUCCGACAUCGGUCACACUUACGGCGGCGGGGACCUGAGGCCGUGGGUCGCCAUAGCGCUGCUCGUGCUCCGUGAGGUCGCGCGCGAGGCAGAGUCUCUGUGGGCACCUUACCUCGUCAUCCUCCCACGCCAGACCGACUCAACCAUCUUCUGGAACACAGUUACUGGGCACAACAGUGGGUACUACCUCCCUGGCGCGGUCACCACCCCCUCCUCCGGCCGCGCCGCCGGCAUCAGCGAAGAGGAUUGCAGUAGUCUACUACCUCUGCCGCAACCGCCACCUCACGGCAAAAGUGAUACGGAAAGCUCGAAUUAAGCCGCCAUCAUGUGCUUCGCCGCCGUUAUUUAAAAAAUAAUAAAGAGCCCUUUGCAUCAAGGUUUAUAUUACUAAUAAUAUGACAUACAUGUCAUGACAGCGGUGACUACAACGGAAGUGCUACUUUAAAUAGUUAACGUUUAAUACCAACACUUUUUUACUUACCAAUAUAUCAUGUUUGCUGUUGCACAGGUUAAAUCUCAAAGGGGGAAAAAAGCAAAUUAAAGAGACAGUCCUUAGCUAGAUCAUAAAUAGAGUUCUACAAGGAAGGUGGACAUUAUCAAUGAAAAAGUAGUAUGACAAGGGAUACAGCUAGAAGAGCUAAAACUAAAGCUGCAGAAAGU